UACUCAGCAACUCCUUUCCCUACCUCUUCGCGGUAUUGGCCGAAGUACAAGCAACCGUAGGGAUCGGGUAAACAACCCCGGUGGGAAUCUUGGUCGCAUGCUGACAGGGAAGG
rnacentral:ribozyme from 1 species